rnacentral:rRNA from 1 species
CCUACGGGCGGCAGCAGUGGGGAAUAUUGGACAAUGGGCGAAAGCCUGAACCAGCCAUGCCGCGUGUGUGAAGAAGGCCUUCGGGUUGUAAAGCACUUUCAGUGGGGAAGAAAGCCUUGGGGCUAAUACCCUCGAGGAAGGACAUCACCCACAGAAGAAGCACCGGCUAACUCCGUGCCAGCAGCCGCGGUAAUACGGAGGGUGCGAGCGUUAAUCGGAAUUACUGGGCGUAAAGCGCGCGUAGGCGGUCUGAUAAGCCGGUUGUGAAAGCCCCGGGCUCAACCUGGGAACGGCAUCCGGAACUGUCAGGCUAGAGUGCAGGAGAGGAAGGUAGAAUUCCCGGUGCAGCGGUGAAAUGCGUAGAGAUCGGGAGGAAUACCAGUGGCGAAGGCGGCCUUCUGGACUGACACUGACGCUGAGGUGCGAAAGCGUGGGUAGCAAACAGGAUUAGAUACCCGGUAGUC